GACAGGUGUGGCUUCUUCUGAGUGCCCUCUGACCUCGAAGUCAUCUUAUCACGCUGACGAAGCCUGGCGAAACACAGGGCGUGUCUUAGAGAGCUAAGACUUUGUUGUCUUGUCUUGGACACGUAAUGUCUUAAAGUUUAUGGAUUGAGGAAAACAGGGAGGGCGGAAGAAAGAAAAGGAACAUGCGGAGAACCAUGCGCCUGCGCACUGUGCUGUGUAUCUUUGCCGUGUCAGCUCUGGUCGGCGUGUCGUUUUUAAGAACAAGAACGGAGCUGUUCGCCAAGGAGAUUCAACAGGUACACCCUAAGGCA